UUAACUCAAAUUCGUAUCGAGAUGGCACGUUUGCCUACGUUUGCCGCUAGGGGCGCUGUUCCUCCAUACAAAUUUGGGUUA
rnacentral:pre_miRNA from 1 species